ensembl:lncRNA
CAGGAGAGUAAAUAAUCUGCUUUAAAGAACAAGCAUGAGCAGGAUUUCUAGGGAGAAGUAAUUGGGUAUUGCUGGCAAAAUAGAUUCAAGGAACAAAAUCAGCAGGAAAAUGUGCCUUGAUGACUAGUGUGAAAAUUGAUGUGGGAGGGAAUGAAAAGGAAAAUGUGUCAGUUUAGCUUGGGAGAUACUAAAAUAACUAUAGAAGCUGAAGUGUAGAGCCUGGAACUAGCUGAGAACAGAACUGAGAGUGAGAAGCAGUGGGGCUGUGUGGGAAUCUUGGAAGUAGAAAGAGAGACAGUUCUGAUGAGCUGGGCUCGGAAGUGUGGUGUUCAAGGGGGGGCUGUGAGGCUGACUGAGGAGACAAAGGGAGGAGUCUGGCAGAGGGAGCCAGCAAAGAGCUGGCUUGUGCAUGAGGAAGGCUGAACAGCAGAAUCAGGGUGAGAUCUGAUGGGUGUUUGGGAAGCUGGAAAACAGGAUUUGCUGGGUGAGCUGCCUGGGGACGAUAUAAGGAAGGCUUUUGGAGGUGAGAAUUUGCUAGAGAUUGGGUUAAAGUUUCACCUGAGGAGUAGAAGAAGGGACUGGGAAAAAUGGGGUCACACCUGGGAUGAGAGCUAAGGGAAAAGCUGUGGUACCCAUGCAAAUAUGUGUUGAGCAGGAGUGUUGGAGUGCUGCUGGACAGUGGAGUGCAAAGAGUGGGGGUACCAGGAGAGGAAAAGUCUGGGCAGACCAUGCUAAUGCUGGGGGAGGGGGAGUAGGGACAAGCUGUGCUAUGGACAAUUUUCCUUCAGUACCAGGAAUGGCAUCCCACAUUUCCAAGUCUCACUGUUUUGUUGCUGCCAGCAGGUUUCCCUUAGGUGAUUUUCAUCAGUGGAAACUUUGCAUUACACAGAACUCCAUACUGGGGUCGUGCAUCUGAAAACAUCUUCUGAAGAAGGCUUUGGACUUCACUUUAAGGUAGCUUCAUGUCAUGUUGAUCCCACUUGUUGAAGGCAGUGUUAACUCUUGCUGCCAGUCUGUUCUGUGGAGUUUUCUAAGAAGUCCAGAAAGAGUUCACUUGUCAUCUUGGAGCUUGUUCCACCCCUUCUUAUGGUCUUAUUGUUCUCCUGAAUUUAAUUAAAGAUUCUUUUGCGUCCACAAAUAUGCAUAAAUCUUAGAAGAGGAGUUGUCUCCUGUGUUUAACUAGCUCCUAAACAGCUUCUUUCCCCCAAGGAAGCAAGUCUCUUCUAUUUCCCUGUGAAAAUUGAACUCAUUGACAUGUUUCCAUAUGAAAUAUGUCUUAUAGCAGACCUUAUAUUCUCUAGUGGUAGUGUAAUUAUUAAAUAUGCAUGAUACAAGUAUCUAAAUAGGGUGAAAUUCAUCCAAUUCACUUUCUGAUUCCUGAGACAGGUAUGAUAACAUUACUUCUCUGAAGUGACAGCAUUUAAAGUGAAUGAAGCCCAACGUAUUUCUCCUAGGGAUACUCUAACAUGGGGUCCUUGUACAGAAUUAUUUAGAGUCAUAUUGAUUUUAAUUGCUACACAGUGUAAAGUUGUGUUUUCAAACUGCUUCUGAAAAAGAAUAAAAAGGGAACACUCAAUCUUGGCCCUCAUGAGAUCAAUGAACAACCUGACUGACUUUAGCUGGCCUUGAAAAUGGCCUCUGAUGCAUUAGGACUCAAGGAUCACAUCAUGAAAUGAGAAUUGAUGUACAGUGAAGGAAAGGUUAAAGGCAGAUCUUCCCAUAACCUUUCCUGUAGCCUUUACAAUGAUUUUAUACAGCCAAGAAAAUGAAAAAAGUAUAGGCUAAAUGCCAUUGUAUCUAAGAAGGCUGCAUUAAUUUGAAUGAGUAUUGUAACAUUUUAUUGUAAAUACAAGUAAAUCUUUAGUACAGAAAUAGUGAACAGUGCCCCUCUCCAUUCCCCAGGUCAUACCUAUGCUAAGAGAGAUUUAAUUGUCAGUGAUGCUGUUAAUUCUAUGAGUCUGCAGAUAUUCCAGUAAAAGUGUGUGAUAUCAACAUCACAUGCCAGCCCUGAAAGGAGGAACUCUUGUGCUCAGGUACAGUUUUAGCAAUGUAACUGGUACUGCUUCCACUGCUGUCUCAGAACACACCAGAAACCAGAAGUGGUCCUAUUGUAUCUUGUAAAAACAAAACAAAAUAAGAAAAAAUGAAAAAUUUUGAAAAAAAAUUGAAAAAAAGGCAUCCAGGCAAUGGUGUGUUUAUUGCCAGUAGGUUCAGGAUGAAAACUUGAGAAGUGGGAAAGGAAGACAGUGCUGUUUGACUUUUUUGAUUGUGUGGACUUUAUAGAACAGAAAGAGAAUGUCUCGUUUGCCAGUAGUUACUGUUUUGCACUUAAUGUUGCAAAUUCCAGUAACAGCAUGCUGAUGAAGAGCUCUCUACUGGGGGAAACAGAGUAAGAUUGCACAGAGAAUUUAGAUAGGUCCCUCUUCAUGAUAUGCAAGGAGACAAUGAGUGAGCACAAGAGAGAAAAUAUGUUGUGUUGGACUGCCUUCUUUCCUUCUGUCUGGGAACAUGGAACAACUCCUUUUCUGUUGUUUACCACUUUCUACAUUUCCUAUUGUACUGAACCAAUUUGGGGCUCUUCUGCUGCAGCAGCAAUGGCAGCAAACACAUAUACCAUGCAGGGUCUUUGGAGAGGGAUAAUGGGAGAAUUCAAGCUAGUGGUGUGGAUUCUCUGCAGGAAUAGGGAAGAGGUUCUCCUGCAAUGAUUUAUUUGUCCAAAGUGCAAAGCUUCAGGGCAAUAAAUGGAAAUAAAUUCAUCCUGAAUAUAUCCUGGUCUUUGUGGAUACACCUGUUACAGGUUAUGGAGAACUUUGUAUUCUUAGAUUCUAAAGAUUAUAAAAAAAUACAACUUUGUAAUCCUAAAUG